rfam:Schistosoma mattheei strain Denwood, Zambia genome assembly, scaffold: SMTD_scaffold0009902
AUCCAGCUGGCGAGUCCCAAAUAGGAUGAAAUGCGUGUCCUGGAU